GCGGCUAUAGUGUAGUGGUAACACUGUUUCCUGUGGAGAAACCAUCGCCGGUUCAAAUCCGACUAGCCGCC
rnacentral:tRNA from 1 species